AUGUCUUUCCACCUUCAUAAGGCAAUAUGCAUUUCCAAAAGUGUUGUUCUUGAACAGUUGAUCGAGGAGAGUUCAGACCAAGAAGAGUGCAUCAUCAAACCAAGUGAUAUCCCAGGGGGUGCAAAAUCAUUUGAGAUGGUGGCAAAAUUCUGCUAUGGAGUGAAAGUAUAACUUUCUUUUGCAAAUGUUGCCCAUCUAUGUUGUGCCUCUGAGCAUCUCCAGAUGACUGAAAUGAUAUCUUUUUUUUGA
rnacentral:rRNA from 1 species